GCUCACGUUCCUCCUGUUCAGUGACUCUCCAUCUCUGCGACUCUGAGCUUUUUAUUUUACCUCCCUGCACAUCAGAUCCCUUGAUCUACAGUGGGGCAGAUACCCACCAUGUGAAGCUGCUGUGAGACUUCCCCCUACAAUAGUGUGCAGUCCUUUGUAAAUCCCACAGCUUAUCACACAAAUGUUAAUAUUACCCCUCCCAAUCCUUUUUGCUCCUGCUAGAGGGAAAACAUACACACAUUCACACACACACACGCAUACACAUACAUAUAUAUGUACAUGCAUACACACAUGCCCAUGCCCAUAUAUACAUACACACAUAUAUACAUACAUGUACACACAUACAUACAUGCACGUGCCCAUGUACACACAUACACACAUGCAUACACAUGCACACACCUCUCACUCUUCCAUCUUUGUUUCCAACUUUCCUGCUUUCAAAUCUUAGCUCCUACUGACACUUCUGCUAGAAUGAUCACCCCCCUUAAAAUGCUGCUUAAUUUUCAUUGCUGCUUCCUCCACACAGCCUGGCCCGGGUUGCUGGCUGCACACAGAAGUGGCUGUGGAGGUGUGGACUGAGAUUUGAACUGGGCAUCAGGACCUCUGGCUGUCAGUCCUGCUUCUGCUCACUCUGUGGUCCUGGGUGAGCUGCAUAAGCAGCCAGUGCUUUAUUCACACUCAGCUCACGUGUUCACACACCCAUUCAUUCAUCCACUUGCCCACUCACUCAGUUUCUCGUGGUCUAGACAAGAGGCCUGAGAUGAGAUCAGAGCUUCUUCCAGAGCUGCUGGGCACAUGGGGGCAGGAAAGCCCCAAUACCCAUUGUUCUUCAGGGAAGACUGAACACUCUCCUUGGGAACACUGGAGCCCUGGAGCUCACUUGGUUACCCCAGAACUCCUGUCCUCUGUGGUGUGUCUCUACCCUGGGGCCAGGCACGAACAUCCCCAGAUUCCUGGAUUUGAUCAUAAUGAUCAACUUGGAAAUAUUUGGCCACCAGGGCUGCUCAGUGUGCUGGGUCUGGAGCAAUUGGAGGAUGAGAUCUUCACAUUUACUUGGAGGGUUGUAUGCCUUGCAGGUGCAGAGCCACCAUCUGGCAGCUGUGCCUUCUGGGGCAUGUGGCCUCAUCGGUGA
rnacentral:lncRNA from 1 species